rnacentral:rRNA from 1 species
AUUGAACGCUGGCGGCAGGCUUAACACAUGCAAGUCGAGCAGGGGAAGGUAGCCUGCUACCGGACCUAGCGGCGGACGGGUGAGUAAUGCUUAGGAAUCUGCCUAUUAGUGGGGGACAACAUCUCGAAAGGGAUGCUAAUACCGCAUACGUCCUACGGGAGAAAGCAGGGGAUCUUCGGACCUUGCGCUAAUAGAUGAGCCUAAGUCGGAUUAGCUAGUUGGUGGGGUAAAGGCCUACCAAGGCGACGAUCUGUAGCGGGUCUGAGAGGAUGAUCCGCCACAGUGGGACUGAGACACGGCCCAGACUCCUACGGGAGGCAGCAGGGGGGAAUAUUGGACAAUGGGGGGAACCCUGAUCCAGCCAUGCCGCGUGUGUGAAGAAGGCCUUAUGGUUGUAAAGCACUUUAAGCGAGGAGGAGGCUACUUUAGUUAAUACCUAGAGAUAGUGGACGUUACUCGCAGAAUAAGCACCGGCUAACUCUGUGCCAGCCGCCGCCGUAA